CGAUCAGCUGGAGUUUGCCCAGUUGUUACAGUUGUUCCUGGUUUUGAAGCAAUCGGCCGUGAUCAGACGGCACCAAUGCAAAGUGCAUCUGCGGCCACAAGUCGGCACCAAGCGAACUGCUCAGGAAGUGGAGGGCGAGAGGUCAGACUCGUCUCACACGGCACAGAUGGCAACUCAUUAACGUUAGCGCGCCGUGGCAACAAGCUGGCAAUCUUUAUUGUAAUUCAGAAUUGCAAACAAUCAGUAAUCUUUAUCAUGUUAGAUACAAAAACACUGCAAAGCUGAAUUUAAAUGCUAUAAACUGUGCUGACAGUUGAGCUUAUCAACAUGUCAUCAGAGUCCAUGUGUCUGUUUCCACCUCAAGGUCACGGGAGAUAAUGUACUGGACAACAGCAGCUGAUCCUCUGCUGUGUGCUGGUCUUGGAGGACUAUGACACAGGACGGAUCUUCAUGCUGAUGGCCUUCAGUGAGUAGUCAUGGCCCUUCCACUGUCGCCAUUCCACUCCAACAGCGUAGAUAGUGC